rnacentral:rRNA from 1 species
GAUGAACGCUAGCUACAGGCUUAACACAUGCAAGUCGAGGGGAAACGGCAUCGAAAGCUUGCUUUUGAUGGGCGUCGACCGGCGCACGGGUGAGUAACGCGUAUCCAACCUGCCCAUCACUUGGGAAUAACCUUGCGAAAGUAAGACUAAUGCCCAAUGACAUCCCACGAAGGCAUCCGAAUGGGAUUAAAGAUUUAUCGGUGAUGGAUGGGGAUGCGUCUGAUUAGCUUGUUGGCGGGGUGACGGCCCACCAAGGCAACGAUCAGUAGGGGUUCUGAGAGGAAGGUACCCCACAUUGGAACUGAGACACGGUCCAAACUCCUACGGGAGGCAGCAGUGAGGAAUAUUGGACAAUGGGCGAGAGCCUGAACCAGCCAAGUAGCGUGCAGGAUGACGGCCCUAUGGGUGGUAAACUGCUUUUAUAAGGGAAUAAAGUGGGUCACGUGUGACUUUUUGCAUGUACCUUAUGAAUAAGGACCGGCUAAUUCCGUG